rnacentral:rRNA from 1 species
ACUCCUACGGGAGGCAGCAGUGGGGAAUUUUCCGCAAUGGGCGCAAGCCUGACGGAGCAACGCCGCGUGAGGGAUGAAGGCCUCUGGGCUGUAAACCUCUUUUAUCAAGGAAGAAGAUCUGACGGUACUUGAUGAAUAAGCCGCGGCUAAUUCCGUGCCAGCAGCCGCGGUAAUAC